rnacentral:tRNA from 1 species
UGGACGGAAGCUAAGCGGUCAGGCAUCGGACUUUUAAUCCGAACAUGGUGGGUUCGAUUCCCACUCGUCCAA